GAACGAGGGCGUGUCACAACUCAUUCGGUCCCGCUGCCUAGAUGGGCGAGCCAACCAGAAGCGUGCUGCUGCCCUUUUCACUGCCACUAUGCGGCAGGUUCCAGGUUCUUGUUCUGUGACCAGAAGAAUGAGGUACGUGGACACCGGGAUCAUAAGACAAGAAAUAUAUAAACAAAAAAUGAAACCAUGAAAAUAGAAGCAUUUAUAGAAGCUGCACUACAGCAUCUAAUCAGGAGGGUUUUUUUCCAAGCAUCAGUGACAGUGCUGGACUACACAGUGGAGGAACCUCGAAAACAUUUUGCUAAGUAAAAGAAGCUGGACAAAAAAUGGUCACAUGCUGUGUGAUUCCAUUUAUAUAAAAUAUCCAGCAUAGGGGAAAUCUAUAAAGAUAGAAAAUUGAUGCUUGACAGGGGCUGGGGAAACGGAGAUUGUGGAAUAAAUGCUUGAUACGCAUGGGAUUUCUAGAGAGGUGGUGAUUGUACAACAUUGUGAAUCUACAGAAUGUCACUGAAUGGUUCACUUUAAAAUGGUUAAGACAAGUUGCAAUGUUCCCCAAGCUGAUC
rnacentral:lncRNA from 1 species